UACUGCUGCUACGUAUAUGACAUUAGUUAGACACCUACAACCAUCAUACAGGUAGGUACUGCUGCUAUGUAUAUGACAUUAGUUACAGACACCUACAACCAUCAUACAGGUACUGCUGCUACGUAUAUGACAUUAGUUACAGACACCUACAACCAUCAUACAGGUACUGCUGCUACGUAUAUGACAUUAGUUACAGACACCUACAACCCACAUACAGGUACUGCUGCUACGUAUAUGACAUUAGUUACAGACACCUACAACCAUCAUACAGGUACUGCUGCUACGUAUAUGACAUUAGUUAGACAUUAGUUAGACAUUAGUUAGACACCUACAACCAUCAUACAGGUAGGUACUGCUGCUACGUACUGCUGCACAGGGAGAGACCUAGCUAGAGAGAGAGACCUAGCUGUGCCACAGGGAGAGGGAGAGAGAGACCUAGCUGUGCCACAGGGAGAGGGAGAGAGAGACCUAGCUGUGCCACAGGGAGAGGGAGAGAGAGACCUAGCUGUGCCACAGGGAGAGGGAGAGAGAGACCUAGCUGUGCCACAGGGAGAGAGAGAGGGAGAGAGAGAUCUAGCUGUGCCACAGGGAGAGGGAGAGAGAGACCUAGCUGUGCCACAGGGAGAGGGAGAGAGAGACCUAGCUGUGCCACAGGGAGAGGGAGAGAGAGACCUAGCUGUGCCACAGGGAGAGGGAGAGAGAGACCUAGCUGUGCCACAGGGAGAGGGAGAGAGAGACCCAGCUGUGCCACAGGGAGAGGGAGAGAGAGACCUAGCUGUGCCACAGGGAGAGGGAGAGAGAGACCUAGCUGUGCCACAGGGAGAGGGAGAGAGAGACCUAGCUGUGCCACAGGGAGAGGGAGAGAGAGACCUAGCUGUGCCACAGGGAGAGGGAGAGAGAGACCUAGCUGUGCCACAGGGAGAGGGAGAGAGAGACCUAGCUGUGCCACAGGGAGAGGGAGAGAGAGAUCUAGCUGUGCCACAGGGAGAGAGAGACCUAGCUGUGCCACAGGGAGAGGGAGAGAGAGACCUAGCUGUGCCACAGGGAGAGGGAGAGAGAGACCUAGCUGUGCCACAGGGAGAGGGAGAGAGAGACCUAGCUGUGCCACAGGGAGAGGGAGAGAGACCUAGCUGUGCCACAGGGAGUGAGAGAGAGAGCUAUGCCACAGGGAGUGAGCUAUGCCACAGGGAGAGAGCUAUGCCACAGGGAAAUAGCUAUGCCACAGGGAGAGAGCUAUGCCACAGGGAGAGGGAGAGAGCUAUGCCACAGGGAGAGAGAGGCAGCCUACAGGUGUGACUACUAGAUGGUCUGGUUUUGAUUCAACUGGAAAUAGAAGAGGAUACCUCAGUAUAAACACUAGGGCUCUACUCUAGGAGGGAGGGAGGAAGAAAGGAGGGCUCUCCUCUAGGAGGGAGGGAGGAAGAGAGGAGGGCUCUACUCUAGGAGGGAGGAAGAGAGGAGGGCUCUACUCUAGGAGGGAGGGAGGAAGAGAGGAGGGCUCUACUCUAGGAGGGAGGGAGGAAGAGAGGAGGGCUCUACUCUAGGAGGGAGGGAGGAAGAGAGCAGGGCUCUACUCUAGGAGGGAGGGAGGAAGAGAGGAGGGCUCUACUCUAUGAGGGAGGGAGGAAGAGAUGAGGGCUCUACUCUAGGAGGGAGGGAGGAAGAGAUGAGGGCUCUACUCUAGGAGGGAGGGAGGAAGACAUGAGGGCUCUACUCUAGGAGGGAGGGAGGAAGACAUGAGGGCACUACUCUAGGAGGGAGGGAGGAAGAGAUGAGGGAUCUACUCUAGGAGGGAGGGAGGAAGAGAUGAGGGCUCUACUCUAGGAGGGAGGGAGGAAGAGAUGAGGGCUCUACUCUAGGAGGGAGGGAGGAAGAGAUGAGGGAUCUACUCUAGGAGGGAGGGAGGAAGAGAUGAGGGCUCUACUCUAGGAGGGAGGGAGGGAGGAAGAGAUGAGGGCUCUACUCUAGGAGGGAGG
rnacentral:lncRNA from 1 species